CGAAGUUCGAAAGAAAGAAGUCCACGUCAGUAGGUCACUACGGUCUUGUAUAUUUGCGUUGUUUUUAAUUUAUUUACAAAUUUAUGCAGUUGAGUUUAAGAUAAUUGGAAAAGAAGUUGUAGCUUUCGUCACAUACGGAAACACUUCAGACCAAUUUAAAGUAAUUAAGUUGAUAAACUUUUUUACACUGAAACAAAAGUGAACAACAAACAGAAAAUGGUUUUGUUGCAGCCACCCGGUGAAAAGGGAGUUCAAGUUGAGCUGCAGCUGCUGUAAGCAGUCUGUAGCGGUGAUGUCAUCCUGAAGUGUUCUCAGUGUGUCAGUCUAGGCUGCUGAAGCUAAUUAAAGUGUGCUGUUCAAGUCUUAUCAUAGACGUCAAGCACAGCACUGAUAACAAAUUAUAAACAAGACUCUAUGAGAAGCCAUGUCAUUUGAAGAACUACACAGUCCAUAAGGUCCCUGUUUGAAAACCCGUUGGCUGCUACCUGUGAAUCUCCCUUUUUACUUCCUUAAACGGGCCGUCUUAAUUGAAGGUAACUCCUUCGAUACUGAUCAUCCACUGGACCCGACUUCAUCCGUUGGUGAAAGCUGACAAGAGAAUGCUGUAAUUCAAGACUGAUAAAUUGUGUAGUUGUUAGAUAAAUUACAAGUGCAUAUUAUCUGGGCUCCCUUGUUCA